UACGGAGGGCGCGAGCGUUACUCGGAAUUACUGGGCGUAAAGCGCGCGUAGGCUGUUGUGUAAGUUGGGGGUGAAAUCCCACGGCUCAACCGUGGAACAGCCCUUGAUACUGCGCGACUUGAAUCCGGGAGAGGGUGGCGGAAUUCCAGGUGUAGGAGUGAAAUCCGUAGAUAUCUGGAGGAACAUCAGUGGCGAAGGCGGCCACCUGGACCGGUAUUGACGCUGAGGCGCGAAAGCGUGGGGAGCAAACAGG
rnacentral:rRNA from 1 species